CAGUAGCCGCGGUAAUACGUAGGGUGCGAGCGUUAAUCGGAAUUACUGGGCGUAAAGCGUGCGCAGGCGGUUGUGUAAGACAGGUGUGAAAUCCCCGGGCUUAACCUGGGAACUGCGCUUGUGACUGCACAGCUAGAGUAUGGCAGAGGGGGGUGGAAUUCCACGUGUAGCAGUGAAAUGCGUAGAGAUGUGGAGGAACACCGAUGGCGAAGGCAGCCCCCUGGGCCAAUACUGACGCUCAUGCACGAAAGCGUGGGGAGCAAACAGGAUUAGAUACCCGUGUAGUCCCUGUCUCUUAUAC
rnacentral:rRNA from 1 species